UCAAGUUUUUGUUUCUAAAAGCAAAAAAACACAAAACGAAAACGAUGCCCUAGGAAACACAGCUCCCUCCAUCGCCUUCCGCCCUCGCCUUCGCCUUCGGCGAUCGCCUACGUUGGGAUCGUCCCCUCGCCGUUCUCCUCGGUGAUGGCUGAUUUUACUGGAAGCGAUUUUCAAGGGGAGGAGAAUGAUACUGAUAUAGUUGAUGAGGGUGGUUUCAAUGUUAGUGUGUGGCCAGAUGAGAUCGAAGAAAGGUUCAUCUACAUCAUGGAGGCAGAAGUUAACAAAGGCAAUAGAACAUCAACAACUUUUUCAAAGCCUGCAUGGCGUGCCAUUGAGGAAACUCUCAACACACAAACAAAAAGGAACUACACUUACACACAACUCAGAAAUAAGUUCAACCAACUAAGAACCCGACAAAAGGACUUUGCUAACCUAAUGAAGGAGACAGGGGUUCGCUGGAACCCAGUGACAGACUCUGUUUCUGCGACAGAUGAGGUGUGGGAACGCCUGUAUAAGGUGUACAAGUCUGCAAAGAGAUUCCGUAAGAAGGGAUGCCCUUUGUUUAACAAAUUGUGUGUGAUUUAUGGAGACACAACGGCAUCCGAUUUCUGUCAACAUAUUUCGAACAAUAAUCCCCUGGACACUGAUGAUAGAGAGGAGAUUGAUGGGAUGAGCUUAGAGGCAUCAUUUAAUGAGCAAUCUGGUGGUACAGGUGUGCUGUCUGCAGUUCCCAUACGAAGCCAAUCUUUCAACCCAUCAAGCUCUCGUCGGGGAAAAAGAAAUAGUUUUUCCACUCUCCAGACUAGUAGUUUGACUUCUCCAGGUGAAAAUUCAAAGAAAAAGUCUGAUACAACUGAGAGAAAAAUGACAGUUACUCCCUCACCAUCAAAGUCAACUUCUGAGACUGGAUCCACUAUCAAGAAACUUAUUGUAGAAAGCAUGCAAGCACUGAAUGCCCUAGAGGGCAUAGAUGGAGUAGCAUACUCCAAGGCAGUUGAGCGGUUUCAUGAAGAUUAUAUGUGGAUGGAGCUAUUUCUGCAGAUGACAGAGGAUAGGAAAAAAGAUUGGGUGUUAAAUAUAAAAUAAUGGUGGAUGUGCCAAUUUUACUGGUUCACAUGGAAUCCAGUGUUAAAAGAAGCUACCAAAUAAAAUCAAUGUGUAUGACUUUUCUAUUCUCACGAAGAGAUGGGACCUCUUAAGCCCCUCAUUUAUCUCCUUCAGUUAAAAGCAGCUACCGGCGGCUUAGUGAGUUUGCUCCUAGUUGAAGUAAUUCUAAAGGAGAGUGCAAUAUUCUUCCAGGCAAGAUAACAAGCUGUUCACUUUUUUAAAUUUCAUGGACAAUCAUCACUGAGCAAUUAAAAUUUGUGCUACCAGUGUCUGUGGAGUGUCUUAUCAAUGCAAUAUUUUUCUUUUCUUGUUCUUUUAGAUGGAAAUACAAGACUACCUAUAUAAGCUUAAUGCAAUCUCCUGUAUAUGCUAAUGUGUUCAUGAUCAAAAUUUUCUUGUGUUGACCUUACAGAUUGUGCUACUUGGUUUAGUUGAUACAGAUUCCUGGUUUUACAGAAAUACCUUAAUGCUUCUAGAACCUACCAUUUUUGGGGUUUGGACAUCUGCAGUUGUUGUAAUUGCUCUGAUCUGAGGCAGGAUGCGAUGAUGGAUGAACCAUUUAGAAGUUUAGAGCUGGUUUGUGUGGCUACUUCAAUCACAUUCCCUAGUGCUGCCACCCCUGAUUUUGCUGCAGAGCCUGCACUCAACUUGCAGCAGAUAUAGAGGAUGAGACCACAAACACGGAUUCUCCUAUGGAAUUGUUGAGUUUGUGUCUUUAGUUUGUUGCAUUAGUAAUAUCUUCUUUGUUGCUCAUUAAAUAAUUCUCUGUCGACCUUUUAUUUUUUUUUUGCUUUUGAUGGAUGUGUAGAUUUCAUUUUGACA